rnacentral:rRNA from 1 species
UACAUGGGGUGCAAACGUUUGCUCGGAAUUAUUGGGCGUAAAGCGCGCGUAGGCGGUUACUUAAGUCGGAUGUGAAAGCCCUCGGCUUAACUGAGGAAGUGCACCCGAAACUGAGUAGCUAGAGUACGAAAGAGGGUCGCGGAAUUCCCGGUGUAGCGGUGAAAUGCGCAGAUAUCAGGAGGAACACCGGUGGCGAAGGCGGUUCUCUGGGCAUGUCCUGACGCUGAGGAGCGAAAGUGUGGGGAGCGAACAGG